AUCUAAAUCUAUAUAUAAUAGCAAACCCACAAUCAGUGUAUGGUGACAUCGGCAUUUUUUUAUAGGAAAAAAAAGUUAGUAUCUAAUGGUGGAGUUUAUCGUAAAAGUACAUCCAAUGUACUUAAUUUUGUUUUAGAUGAAGGGAAUGACGUCACCGUGUCAUUUUAGCAAACGACGUCUUCUUCCUAUCUCUUCAGAGGCGUCCCCUAAAUUGCAAGAAUUAUUUUUCACUUAACAGUUGUAUCUUUUCACUCUCAGAGUUUCACUGGAACGUCAUCAUCUUCCUUCAUGAGUUAUUUGUUUAUAUAUAUAAAGUUUUUCAAACUUUUUUUUGGCCAACUUGUUUCAAGUUUUCGGUGAUUCUCUCCUUGUGCUUUUAUCUCUCUUCGUCUCCUUUUACAUUCAAACCCGUUAGUUUGAUUUUGCCGCAGCAGAUCUUUGUUCCUAUAGCCCUCUCUCUUUCAGCGAUAAUUUCAGAUUCAGAUUAAGGAUGAAGUGUGUCUUCUGGUAUUUUGAAAAAUUUCUGAUACGUGAAGAGGUAUGUCUUCAAGAGAGAACCAGAGGACAUAUAAUCAAAAAUUACUGAUCAAACAAAGAAUCAGAGGAGCUAUGUCUUCAAGAGACAUUUUUUUUGGUAUUUUAUGAUUGAUCGUGUGGAAAUACAAACAAUCAGAAUAUAUAUCAGCCGCAUCUCCGUGCGCUACACUCCUCUGCACUUUUGCUGCUUCGAUGUCCACACGAUCAGUAUUUUUGCUUAGAUGUCCUCUGGUUCAUCGUUUCUUUAUCAUUUCCCUUCAUCAUUGUUCUCACUCACAUCCAAUUUAUUGUCCUACAGCUUUUUGCGUUACUUACUGUGGCUUUUUUCUGUUAUGAAACAAGUGACUCCCUCUCCAAUUUUUUUCCUUGUCUGUUUUCACCACCACCAAUUGUCAAACUCUCUGAACUUUUCCCCUGUCUUCACCACACCACAGUCUUGAUUUUUCUCUUCUCUUCUUUUAUACUGUCUCCCCAACCCACUAAUAUCUUAAUUUGCAAAUGUAGAGCUAUUUAAUGAGAAAACUUUUUUUUCUCAAGAACUUAUUGAUCUUCUUUGGUACCGUUUCUCCAAAUCAAAAAGGUACUUUUCUAGACUGAAUCAUCGUUGAAACACAAACAAAAGUAAGACUUACAACUCCUAAAAUUGUUUCAUUUAACAAGGGAUUCAAAGAGGAGAGUUAUGAUUUUCUGUCCAUAUGAAGCUGAACGUAAAGUCGUUGUCCAUUUUAAUUCCAUGAAUAAGUUUAAUCAAAAGGGUAUUUUACCAAGUUUAUUUUGGUCGUCCACGUUAUAUAGAAGAGAUGUGAUUUAACUGAUUGCCUAGAGUGUAGAUAUGUUUAGUCUAACGAGAGUAUAAGAUGUUUUCUUCUCACCGAACAAUUAGGUUUCAACUCGCGCUUUGGGACCAGAUUGGUAAGGGCCUCUUUCCUUUCGUUUCGUAUCAUCUGUACAUGCGAAAAAUUGGUCUUAGUGAUAAUAAUAAGGUAGAAGAAUUUACUUCUGGUGUAUCGAGGGCCUCUUAAAUUUUCGUUAAUGUUUGUUUAAGUCAACCAUUGCAUUCUUUAUUAACUAAUGUAACAGUUGAUGAUAAACUUUUCACCAUUUGAUAAUAAACCAACCACUGCAGCAUGAUUAAACAUUUGCGCUCUUGUGUUAUUUGUAAUUUCAAACCGUUUUGUAAUUAUUGCUGAACCACACUAAGUGUAAAAAGAUUUUCCAGUUUUAUUGUUUAUUAUCUCUCAGCUCGAAGGUAUUGGAAAAUAA